rnacentral:rRNA from 1 species
UAGGGAAUCUUCGGCAAUGGACGGAAGUCUGACCGAGCAACGCCGCGUGAGUGAAGAAGGUUUUCGGAUCGUAAAGCUCUGUUGUAAGAGAAGAACGAGUGUGAGAGUGGAAAGUUCACACUGUGACGGUAUCUUACCAGAAAGGGACGGCUAACUACGUGCCAGCAGCCGCGGUAAUACGUAGGUCCCGAGCGUUGUCCGGAUUUAUUGGGCGUAAAGCGAGCGCAGGCGGUUAGAUAGGUCUGAAGUUAAAGGCUGUGGCUUAACCAUAGUAGGCUUUGGAAACUGUUUAACUUGAGUGCAAGAGGGGAGAGUGGAAUUCCAUGUGUAGCGGUGAAAUGCGUAGAUAUAUGGAGGAACACCGGUGGCGAAAGCGGCUCUCUGGCUUGUAACUGACGCUGAGGCUCGAAAGCGUGGGGAGCAAACAGGAUUAGAUACCCUGGUAGUCCACGCUGUAAACGAUGAGUGCUAGGUGUUAGACCCUUUCCGGGGUUUAGUGCCGUAGCUAACGCAUUAAGCACUCCGCCUGGGGAGUACGACCGCAAGGUUG